CCCUUAGAUGUUCUGGGCCGCACGCGUGCUACACUGAACGGUUCAAUGGGUAAGGUAGUGCGAAAGCAUGACCUAAUCUCGAAAUCCGUUCGUGCUGGGGAUAGAAGCUUGCAAUUAUCCUUCUUGAACGAGGAAUACCUUGUAAGCGUGAGUCAUCAUCUCACGCUGAAUACGUCCCUGCCCUUUGUACACACCGCCCGUCGCACCUACCGAUUGAAUGGUCCGGUGAAAUCUUCGGAUUGAGACUUUGAUUUCUUCACGGAAAACGCUGUUUUAAAAAGUUGAUUAAACCUUACCAUUUAGAGGAAGGUGAAGUCGUAACA
rnacentral:rRNA from 1 species